rnacentral:lncRNA from 1 species
CCAGAAAUAUGAUCCAGUGACUUCUGUGGGUUUUGUGUUUUGCUGGUUGGCCCCAGAAUGUGCCACAUUUUGAAAACUGUAUUUUCCAAAUCAAACUGGACCUUGUAGCCAGGCAGGGAUGGGUCUCUGCUCCCUGGUAACAAAGACAGGACAAGAGUUGCACAAGGGGAGGUUUGGAUUGGAAAUCAGGGAAAAUUCCUUCCCUGAAAGGGUGAUCAGCCUCUGCUGAGGCUGCUCGGGGAGGUGGUGGAAUCUCCAUCCCUGGAGGUGUUCAAAGAAUGUGUGGAUGUGGUUCUUUGGGGCUUGGCAGGGUUGGAAAUGGUGGGACUCAUUGAUCUUGGAGGAAUUUUCCACUAUUCUACUCACACACCAGCUUUUCUCUGUUUUUUCUUUGAUAAUUUGAGAUUUUCUUGCUGCUUAAAUUGGUGAAAACACGUUUCUCUUGAAUCUGGUGUUGAUUAAUCUGUGUUUUCCAGGUGUGACCUGUGGGAUAUUCAUUGGGAUAUUCAGAGCUGCUUUUUGGACAAACUUCCUGAUCCAGUGUUUGUUAGAAUCAUUGUUUGUGAGAAGAAACCUGGGUGUGCUCAUUUCUUGCUGAGGUUCCCUUCUCUGCAAAGACCUGCCUGACUCACUGCUUGACUUGGAAACACCCCCAGGGAUGGCUCAGCUCAGAAAUGAUCACAGACAGACACUCUUCACUUCCACCCAAUUCCACGCUGCUUGCAAAUGGAACAGGGGAAAAACUCUGCAGCCUGUGGGCUCUGACAGAAAACAGAGAUGUGACAAAGCCCAAGGACGCUGAGGUGAUUCAUGGUGUGGCACACGGGGAUGUCUCUGUUCAUUCCUGGCAUUACAGAGGAGCUUCCUGGGAAACCCCUUGAGGUGGGCUGUAAAAUCCAUCCUCAUCUGUGUGUUGAGAAGUGUCAAUGUUUGAGGAACAAAUGGCAGCCCUGGCCUGAGGCUCACUCGUGUUCUGCCCCAGGGCUGAGGGUUUGGAGGCUCAGCCCAUCCUGACUUUAUCUGUGUGUGUGCUCCCUCGGACACAGGGAAUUCAGCUGGAGCUGCUGGGAUCCUGCUGGGAUCCUGGUGGGAUUCUGGUGGCAUUCUGGUGGCAUUCUGGUGGCAUUCUGAUAGGAUCUUGGUGGGAUUUUGGUGGGAUCCUGGUGGGAUUCUGAUGGGAUUCUGAUAGGAUCUUGGUGGGAUUCUGGUGGGAUCCUGAUGGGAUUCUGGUGGGAUCCUGAUGGGAUCCUGGUGGGAUUCUGAUGGGAUUCUGAGGGGGGGGGGGGGGGGGGGGGGGGGGGGGGGGGGGGGGGGGGGGGGGGGGGGGGGGG